rnacentral:sRNA from 2 species
UCGCGUCAAGCGCCGUAGGCAGGAGCGGGGGACCCAAGGUAAGUGCCCGACCGGCCGGUUGUGCCGGAAGGGCUUGGGGUGAAGCCGUGUCCCGGGAGGGGCGCGGCCGGGCAACUCAACCGGCCCGAACCCGACAGCUCACCUCGCAGGCGUCGGUGAGGGGAUCU